UACAGCCAUAUCACAUUGAAACACCGGUUCCCAUAUGAUCACCAAAGUUAAGCAAUGUCGAGCCUGGUCAGUGCUUAGAUAGUUAAAUGCUUGCGAAUACCAGGUGCUGUAAG